rnacentral:rRNA from 1 species
ACUCAAAUGAAUUGACGGGGACUUGCACAAGCAGUGGAUUAUGUGGUUUAAUUCGACGUCAAACGAAGAACCUCACCAGGGUUUGAAACCUAGUUGAAGACAUUAGGAAACUUUUGUCGCCGCAAGGCAAUUAGGCAGGUGAUGCAUGGCCGUCGUCAGUUCGUGGUUUGAAUUGUUCCCUUAAGUGGGGUAACGAACGCAACCCUCGUUGCCUGUUACAAGUGUCAGGCGAGACUGCCCAGCUUUCAACUCAUAAAUGUAAAAAGUUUGUGAAGUGGAAGCUGGGAGGAAGGCGAGGAUGACGCCAGGUCAGCAUGUCCCUCUGAUAUCCUGGGCUACACACAUAAUAUAAUGGCGACUACAACGCGACGCAAUGGAGUAAUCCGGAGCAAAUCGUUAGAAAGGCCGCCUAAGUUCGGAUUGAGGUCUGCAACUCGACCUCAUGAAGCCAGAAUUGCUAGUAAUCGCGGGUCAGCUAUACCGCGGUGAAUACGUUCUCAAGUCUUGUACACACCGCCCGU